rnacentral:rRNA from 1 species
GACGAACGCUGGCGGCGUGCUUAACACAUGCAAGUCGAACGGAAAGGCCCUGCUUUUGUUGGGUGCUCGAGUGGCGAACGGGUGAGUAACACGUGAGUAACCUGCCCUUGACCUUGGGAUAACUUCAGGAAACUGGGGCUAAUACCGGAUAGGAGCUCCUGCUGCAUGGCGUGUGUUGGAAAGUUUCGGCGGCUGGGGAUGGACUUGCGGCUUAUCAGCUUGUUGGUGGGGAAGUGGCAUACCAAGGCUUUGACGGGUAGCCGGCCUGAGAGGGUGACAGGCCACAUUGGGACUGAGGUACGGCCCAGACGGCUACGGGAGGCAGCAGUGGGGGAUAGAGCACAAUGGGCGGAAGGCUGAUGCAGCAACGCCGCGUGCGGGAUGACGGCCGUCGGGUUGUAAAGCGUGUGCGCCUGGGACGAAGCGUGAGUGACGGUAAUUGGUAAGGAAGCAACGGCUAACUACGUG